UAAUCUGUCUGGAGCAAAUUAUCAUCUAAUUGUAACAGACCCACACUUAACUGUCUAGAAUCACCUGUUAUUGUAAGCCCAACUAUAUCAGUAUAAUAAUUAACACUAAUUGCGGAUUUUAGAGUUGAAA
rnacentral:pre_miRNA from 1 species